rnacentral:lncRNA from 1 species
AUGGCAAGAAAGCACCACUGAUGAACCAGAAAGCAGAUUCAAUCUGUCAGUGCCUUGGUCUUGGACAGCUCAGUCUUCAAAACUAAGCUCACCAGAAAUGACUGGGGCCUGAGCUACACUUCUGCUUGAUCCUGGCAUAUAUAAGCCAUUCACCAUCUCAUCAAUGGCCAGGACUUGAAGUAGACCUUUGUUUAAUGCCCUCUGUAUGAAGAUAAGCAAGGGACACUUUAGAGCUGGCAUAGGUGUGGAUUCAUUGAGAUGGCUAUGACCUAUGUACCAAGAUUAGAGAAAGAAUGUGGUGGAGCUGAACUGUUGAAGACAGUCCUGGAAGACUCUCAUCUCUCUCCUUGUACAAAAUUCUUCUUGUGUCAUUGGGCCCUGGAUAUAUUUUCAAAGGAAGGAAAAUGAUAACCUUAAUGGGCUCUGAUAUGAGAGAUCUUGGAGACUAUACCAAAUGAACAGCAAGGAAAAGAAUCUCGAGCCAUUUAAAGAAUGAAAUUAAAGAACUCCA